UGGGGAAUUUUGGACAAUGGGCGAAAGCCUGAUCCAGCAAUGCCGCGUGUGUGAAGAAGGCCUUCGGGUUGUAAAGCACUUUUGUCCGGAAAGAAAUCCUUGGCUCUAAUACAGUCGGGGGAUGACGGUACCGGAAGAAUAAGCACCGGCUAACUACGUGCCAGCAGCCGCGGUAAUACGUAGGGUGCAAGCGUUAAUCGGAAUUACUGGGCGUAAAGCGUGCGCAGGCGGUUUGCUAAGACCGAUGUGAAAUCCCCGGGCUCAACCUGGGAACUGCAUUGGUGACUGGCAGGCUAGAGUAUGGCAGAGGGGGGUAAAUUCCACGUGUAGCAGUGAAAUGCGUAGAGAUGUGGAGGAAUACCGAUGGCGAAGGCAGCCCUCUGGGCCAAUACUGACGCUCAUGCACGAAAGCGUGGGGAGCAAACAGGAUUAAUACCCUGGUAGUCCACGCCCUAAACGAUGUCAACUAGUUGUUGGGGAUUCAUUUCCUUAGUAACGUAGCUAACGCGUGAAGUUGACCGCCU
rnacentral:rRNA from 1 species